GGGAAGUGGCGCAACGGUAGCGCAUCGGAUUCCAGUUUUCACUUUGUUUGGAAACACCCGAAGGUUGCGAGUUCGAAUCUCGUCUUCCUC
rnacentral:tRNA from 1 species